AGCGAACGCUGGCGGCAGGCCUAACACAUGCAAGUCGAACGAGCUCUUCGGAGUUAGUGGCGGACGGGUGAGUAACACGUGGGAACGUGCCUUUUGGUUCGGAAUAACUCAGGGAAACUUGUGCUAAUACCGAAUGUGCCCUUCGGGGGAAAGAUUUAUCGCCAUUAGAGCGGCCCGCGUCUGAUUAGCUAGUUGGUGAGGUAACGGCUCACCAAGGCGACGAUCAGUAGCUGGUCUGAGAGGAUGACCAGCCACACUGGGACUGAGACACGGCCCAGACUCCUACGGGAGGCAGCAGUGGGGAAUCUUGCGCAAUGGGCGAAAAACUGACGCAGCCAUGCCGCGUGAAUGAUGAAGGUCUUAGGAUUGUAAAAUUCUUUCACCGGGGACGAUAAUGACGGUACCCGGAGAAGAAGCCCCGGCUAACUUCGUG
rnacentral:rRNA from 1 species